rnacentral:rRNA from 1 species
GUCCUAAGAUGAGCUCAACGACAACAUAAAUCUCAUGUGGAACAGAAGGGUAAAAGCUCAUUUGAUUUUGAUUUCCAGUACGAAUACGAACCGUGAAAGCGUGGCCUAAUGAUCCUUUAGACCUUUGGAAUUUGAAGCUAGAGGUGUCAGAAAAGUUACCAUAGGGAUAACUGGCUUGUGGCAGCCAAGUGUUCAUAGUGAAGUUUUUUGAUCUUUCGAUGUCGACUCUUCCUAUCAUUGUGAAGCAGAAUUCACCACGUGUUGGAUUGUUCACCCACCAAUAGGGAAUGUGAGCUAGGUUUAGACUGUCGUGAGAUAGGUUAGUUUUACCCUACUGAUGAUAGUGUUGCAAUAGUAGUUCAACCUAGUAUGAGAGGAACUGUUGAUUCGCACAAUUGGUCAUUGCGCUUGGUUGAAAAGCCAGGGGCGCGAAGCUGCCGUGUGCUGGAUUAUGACUAAACGCCUCUAAGUCAGAAUCUAGGCUAGAAGCGACACAUGCGCCCACCGCCCACUUGCCGACCCGCAGUAGGGGCCGUCCGGCCCCCAAAAGCAUGUGUCAUUGGUGAAGCUUGCGCGGUGGAUAAGCUGCGCAGGCCGCCUUGAACUACAAUUCCUAUCUUGAACGGCGAGUAGAAUCCUUUACAGACGACUUAAAUACGCGACAAGGUAUUGUAAGUGGGAGAGUGUCCUUGCUGCCACGAUCCACUGAGAU